CCCGUGCCCUCUUGGUUCCGGGACCCCUCAGGAUGGCCGCCCCCGCGCCGCAUGGCCGGAUGAGUAGAACCAGGCACUAGCCAACUCCCGCCUUCUGGACCUGUGGGUAGUAGCUUCAGUCCCAGGGGCGAGGGUCUACGCCGUUGGCCCCAGAAGGGGCAGUUCUCCGUUUUGGGGCUAGGGGGUCCUGCUCCCGGUCCUCGGACCACUCGACCCCCUCGUGGUAGGCCACUACUACUUCUGUAUCUCUCUCUGGCGCUGAAUCCAGCACCUCCUUUUCUGAGCUCCAGAUGCUGCCACCCACCUCGGGUACUGUUGGGGGAAAGGGCCAGGCCUUUCUUUCCAAAGGCCCUUCCCUGAUUUCCUCUUUCCCUUCCUUUACAUUCUUAAGCCAAGCCUCAUUAAAAUGGCCUCUCCCUCCCGGGCUUCUUGAGACCCGGGUGGGAUUAAGUCUGGAUGGGGCGGGAAGGAGAGGUAGUCAAGGACAACCUUUUUCUGACUUCCUCUGAUUUCUCUGGGUUUUACCAUUCUCCCAAGAUGACUUCCUCCUAGUCCUGUAAUUACCAUUUAGCUUCCUGGUUUUAGCUGUUACAGGACCCACCUAUAAACUGAGAAUGUGUGCGCCCGGAGGGGAGGUUUUGGCUGACAGCUGUGUAUCUGUAUAUACAGGAGAAAUCCGAAUUAUGGGGUUGUUGGUAUGAACAGGCUCCCUUUUGGCCUGUCUCUGGAACUCCUGGAGUAGAGGUGCCUAGUGUAUUAAUGAUUGUUGAAAUUCAGAACUGGAUUGGGUGGGCUUUGAGUUUUCUUUGGUAGAUUUUGAGAAGCAGCUGUUAGGUGUGUCCACUGUGGGAAGGGUGAACUAGUUUAAAACUAACUUUAUGUGCUCUUUUAAAAUUUUAAAAAAAAGUUACUCUUUAGGGGAGAGUGUGUCAGGGGUGUAUCUAUUCUCUCACUUUAUUACUUUAUUUUGUUCUUUUCCCAGUCAUAGAAACUUUUUACUUACAGGAAGUGGCAAGGAAAAAAAAAAGUUUUUGGAACGUUACAUAUUUGUAUGUCUGAGCAUUCUUAGAAUAGCAGAGUGACUUUUCUGGGACCAUGUUGAAAGUUGUUUUCAGUACAUGAAUUGGACAUUCUGGUUUCUGAUGCAGUUGGCUUAAAUGAGGACAGAUGUGUACAAAAGCCAAAACUCGACCUAGGGCCAUGUGGAUGGAAACCAUGGUUGUAGAUAUUUUCAAAAAGGAACUGAAUCAGGUGAAGAUAUGUAGAAGAAAGGUAUGUAGCAAAUUUAGGUUGUUUAAUGUUUCUGAGCCUGCGAGAGGUAGCCCCAGAAAUAGUGUUGGAAGCUGUGUAGUUUUCAGGUAAUAAAAUCAUAACCAGAGCCUGUUAUAGCAAGGACGGUAGUGAAUAUAACUAAGGAAUGGACAAGGUAAAUCUGGACUAAAUUAUGUCUGUGAGUAUUAGAAUAUUUUUUUUUCACUUAUCUUCUGCAGGGAAUCAUAUAUUUCAUAUAUAAUCAGGGCUCAGUCAGAUAACCCAUGUUUAAAGGAUUAGGGCAGUUUCUAAGCUUCAUUUGAGUCUUCUGUGGUUUGGGGACAUUUUUUAAGCUUUUGUUAAAAAUAACUUGUAGAUACCUUGAAGGAAAUAAAUUGCCUGACUUUA